rnacentral:rRNA from 1 species
GUGUCAGCAGCCGCGGUAAUACGUAGGUGGCAAGCGUUAUCCGGAAUUAUUGGGCGUAAAGCGCGCGUAGGCGGUUUUUUAAGUCUGAUGUGAAAGCCCACGGCUCAACCGUGGAGGGUCAUUGGAAACUGGAAAACUUGAGUGCAGAAGAGGAAAGUGGAAUUCCAUGUGUAGCGGUGAAAUGCGCAGAGAUAUGGAGGAACACCAGUGGCGAAGGCGACUUUCUGGUCUGUAACUGACACUGAGGCGCGAAAGCGUGGGUAGCAAACAGGAUUAGAUACCCGUGUAGUCC